rnacentral:lncRNA from 1 species
CAACCGUGCAGUGCGUACUCAGCAUCCAGGAGCUUGGAGCAGGUGAAAGAUGUCGCAAAAAAGGACUUACCCUUCAGGUGCAGAAAAACGAAAAAGGAAGAAAGAUAAAAGCGACAAGAUAAAGGUAUGUCUUAGUAAUGUAACAUUUGUUGAUAUUUUGUUCCAAAUACGUUAGCCUAUAAUAGCAAAAUUGCUAGCUAACAUUAGUUCAAAACAUCUUAUUAGGUUAGAUAGCUUACUAUUCAAGCUAACGUUUUUAUGUUUGUGUAAUACUUUGAAUAAGUUGAUUUUCAGUACAAUAUUCUGGGUCGCUUUUUGGCAUCAAAACAACGUUUUUGAUAACACUGUUUGAUAGCAAAUGUUUAAUAACUAACGUUAAUUACAAACGCAGUGAUGUUUGCUUGCAAUAUGGUUUUGCAUUAAUUAAUUAAUUUAGUUAACUAACUAGUUUGAGGUAUGUUGUUUGCAAUUGUUUGCUGCAGAGCACAGUAAAUUAUGUGAGUAAAUAAACAUAUUCCUUUUACAUCAUCUCCAUAAUAUGCUCAUACCUUAUAUGAAACUUCCCCAGGAGCACUGUUAAAAUAUUUUGGAGGAGGCACUGACUCAGCCCAGGGGCAAUCCACCUCCUUAGGAGCAGCCAAGGCUGAUGAAUCAGGUCCAUCUCUAUCCUCUGCUCCCACUGUGCCCACUGUCCUCUCUGCAACCUCAGCUGUACCUGGUAAGUUAACAACAAAACAGCCUUUAAUUGCUCAGUGCACUGCAGAACAUACUGAGAUGAUUUUUUUUUUUUAUAUAUAAGAUAUAAUCGUAUGACAAGGGACAUGAUUUUAGACAAAUCCAUAUUAUUUCAAAACUUCUCAAACAAUUUUCAGUUGUUCCACAGUUUGUUUUCUUAUUACAAGCUAUAGCUGUACUUUUUUUAUUUAGAAAAUAAGCUGCAUCAUUUUCAAGUGUAAUAUGACUAUAACAUGGCUAGCUUGUUUUUCAUCUUAGGUCCAUCUCUAUCCUCUGUGCCCACUGUCCCUUUUGUGUCUUCUGCAACCUCAGCUGUACCUGGUAGGUUAACAACAAAACAGCCUUUAUAAUUGCUCAGUGUACUGCAGAAUAUUCUGAGAUUAAUAAUUUUGUCCAAAAAUAUUAUUUAAAUUUCCCUAUAGGUCCUUCAUCUUUGGUCAUCGAGAUUGAUUUGUCGUCAUCAGCAUCCAGUUUGGAGCAGGGAUCAGCAGCUCCGCCAGUUGACCCCGCUGAGUGUCCCUCUUUCCUGUCAGACUCAGAAAGGACUGAACAGGUAU